UUGAGAAAAUCCUAAGACAGAGAAGAAAUGCUCAGGGAGGUCAUGAGGACACCCUCAGAAGCUCUUCCAUCUUCCCCUAAGGACGCAGGCCCCGGGACUCCAGCUAACUCUGAUCACCAAUUAAGGCGAAGUCCUUGGAGCCCGGGCUGGCUAGAGGCCAGGGGUGGGGCGCGGGUACACUUCGCCUGCGGGACUGACUGAAGUGGGGGACAGACAUCGGACUAGAGGGCGAGGAGAAGCAUGAAGGCCUCUGUGAUUAAAUAGGUCUCGUGCAAA